rnacentral:rRNA from 1 species
AUUGAACGCUGGCGGCAGGCCUAACACAUGCAAGUCGAGCGAGCGGCUGACGGGUGAGUAAUGUAUGGGGACUGCCCGAUAGAAGGGGAUAACUACUGGAAACGGUAGCUAAUACCGCAUACUAUCGGAUAACCCAUAUGGGAUUAGCUGGUAGGUGAGGUAAUGGCUCAACUAGGCGACGAUCCCUAGCUGGUCUGAGAGGAUGAUCAGCCACACUGGGACUGAGACACGGCCCAGACUCCUACGGAGGCAGCAGUGGGGAAUAUUGCACAAUGGGCGCAAGACUGAUGCAGCCAUGCCGCGUGUAUGAAGAAGGCCCUAUGGUUGUAAAGUACUUUCAGUCGGGAGGCGUUACCGACAGAAGAAGCACCGGCUAACUCCGUGCCUGCAGCCGCGGUAAUAC